rnacentral:rRNA from 1 species
UACGAAGGGGGCUAGCGUUGCUCGGAAUCACUGGGCGUAAAGCGCACGUAGGCGGAUUGUUAAGUCCGGGGUGAAAUCCUGGAGCUCAACUCCAGAACUGCCUUUGAUACUGGCGAUCUUGAGUCCGGGAGAGGUGAGUGGAACUGCGAGUGUAGAGGUGAAAUUCGUAGAUAUUCGCAAGAACACCAGUGGCGAAGGCGGCUCACUGGCCCGGUACUGACGCUGAGGUGCGAAAGCGUGGGGAGCAAACAGG